CGAUUAUGUUAUCUUUAAAAUCACGAUGUAUCUUAUAUUACAUGGAUUUCCACUCACGAUUAUGUUGAAUUUCGAAAAAUAUGUGACUUUUGUUGUAAUGAUAACAAUUUACAUUCUGCAGUGUGAUUAAAUUAAUUAAGCUUACUGAAAGGUUCUGUCAAAAAAGAUGUAUUUGCUUGUAUCAUAUAUGUUAGAGAUUGAACAUUUUAACUAGGUGGAAUAACCAGAGAGUUUUGUAGGUAGUAAAAUACAAGUAUUUAUCACGUAUUGAAAUGAAAGGAUUAUCAUAAUAAUGUGACAAGGUUUAUAAUUCUAGUGUCAAUAUUUCUAGAAUAAUCCCCCCUGGAGAUUUAAUUUUUCUUUUUUCUUCUGUUUGUUAUUUUUUCCCCAGGAAUUUACUAAAACUUGAAAUAUAUGUCCGUUAUCAACCCCUCUAUAAUAAUGUGAUUAGAUUAAAAGUAUAGAAUCUGUAUAAUUUUUGAAGUUGAAAUUUAUUAAAAUGUGCUAUAUUUUUAAACUUUUCUUCUUUGGUACUAAAAAUGGUAUCUAAUUUAGACUUAAGGUAAUUAAUUAUUCAUUGUUGUCCUUCACAUUAUGUAUGCCGAUGUUAAUAGUUUAAGUACCUUAUAUAUAUAGGGUUAUCUCCUCUUCGAACUUAGAAUUUUGCUUUAAAGAAGUGACCUUUUCCUCUUAUCAUCUGUGUUUCAGACGGGAUUGACUUUUGUCUUUUCCAUAGGAGUAUAGAAUCAUCUGUUUUACUUUUAUUGACAUGGUCACAUGCAUGUUAUGUUUUCCAUAAUUAGGAUGAACAUUUGAGUGCUUGCUUGAAUAUAUUUAUAACAUAACUGAUUUAAUUUCAUACUUCCUUUAUUACUGCGUCAAAUAUAUUGUUGGUCGAGCAUGCUGUUUGUACAAUAUGAUAUACAAUGUUUUGUUGGAGCCAUCGUGUCUUCGCAUCGGCGACCUCUGAUAAACUUAAAACGCCUAAACCGAAACGAUACAACGAAUCGACCAGACGAUACGCCUUAGGAACAAGACAAUGCGUAGAAACGACGGGACAAUCUGAAAACGCGAAAUAAAUAUCUUGUCCGCGCAUCUUGUUGUUGCUUUUUAUGCAUCGUGUGAUGAUCUUUUCGUUUUACAAUAUCUUAUUUUGUGUCAUUGCUUUAUCAUCUCGUCACUUCAGUACAUUGUCUCUUUGCAUUAUUUGUAACAUUACUGCUAACAAUAAUGGAAUACACAACGAGGUGAUACACCGAAGUGACGAGACGAUACACACACUGAAGCAACAAGAUGUUGCACCGAAUCGACAAUUCGUGAACACGGUAAGACAAUGCACUGAAACGACAAGAUGAUAUGCAGAAGCAACAAGAAGUUGUAUCGAAGCGCCGAUACGAGGACAAUAUAAGACAAUACCUGAAGCGACGAGACAAUUAGCGAAAGCGAUGACUCUUUAAUGCGAGGAUAAGAUAAGAUAAGAUAAUACAGUGAAGCGAAUAGACAAGAUGAUACACCAAAGCAUCAAGCAUCAAUGACGUGUCGAUGAGCCAGAGUCUGAGGAUAGCUGAGGAUACGAGGCGGUAAGAUGACACGAAAAAGGAUAAGGCAAUGGGGUUACAUGAUAUUCAAUUUUAUAUGCUUUUUCAUAUUGGUUAUUUAUUUCGGCAUAUCGUGUCGUUGCUUUGGCGUAUCGUUUUGUCUCUUUGUCUGAGGCUUCUUGUUUGUCGCCUCGGCGUACAUUUCAUAGCUUCAGUUUUCAAGAUUUGUUUCAGGUAGCCGAAGUGAAGAAACAAUGAUCCAAAAGAACCAGCACAAUACCACCACCAGUAUUGUUUGAUUAUUCAGCAGCAAUCCAGUUUGAACUUUUGUUUCGUAUAUAUUCUACGCAAUAUAAGUUCUUUAUCCCAGCAGGCACUCGACGUUGUUUCAACGUUGAAACAACGUUGAAAUAUGGUCGUGACGUUGUUCAACCAAUAUUCAACUAUAGACGACCAUACGGAUAUAUUACCAAUGUAUAUACAACGUUGAUUCAACGUUGUUUAUGGUCGAAGUUUUACAUUUAGUUUAAUCAUUAUAACAACUUUUAUACCACUAAUUUUGUGUUAUUAUUCCUUUAUUGAAUUAGUCUGUAAGUGAUUUUUGUCAGGAAAAUUUGUGUAACAAUCUUUUUCCGUAUAUUCAAAAGUAGCGCUUAAACAAAUAAAGUUGGAAAUAAUUUUUCACUUUCUAUUAACGAUUUAAAUAUUAGUUAAUAUGUUUUGUUGUUUGUUGUUUUAUUUUUUAGUUCUUUAUGAAUAAUAUUAAUUAAUAAAUUGAUAUUAGUCAAAACCCCGUUUAUAAAAUAACGCUGGUCAGGGGAAGUAAUUGUUGAAUGCAAUUUAUUUGGAUUUCAAAGGUAUUACCGUAAUGUUUUACUCUAGUUUACUAAUCAUUUUCUAAAAUAUUAUUAUUUAUUCUUAAAAUUCUACUUUAAUUUACUUUAUGAAAUAAAUAAGAGAUGAAAACACAAGAUUGAGUUGAUUUGACACGUUUUCGCGACCUAAUUAAAUGAUUUGGGUUCGGUAGGCCAUGUAAGCAUGAAGUUAUUGAUGUCCUUGGCAAUUUAUGAUUUUACAAAUCUUGUCUUUCUUUAAUUUAUUUUUCAUAUUAUUAAACAUUUGUCUGUACUAUAUCCUAAUUAGAAUUUAAUCAAUUAUAAUAUUGAAACCUAUAAAGUAGUUCGGCCCAAGACGAUUCGUCAAUAUAUAUAACUAUGCUUAUAUUUUAGUGAUAGUAUAAUAAAGUGUUAAUUAAUUUGAAAAAAAACAAACAACAUUAUUAUUAAGUUAAAUAACAAAUUUGAGUGUUAAACUUUAAAGUUCAAUAGUCGUAAAUUUAUGGGGAAUAAUAAAUCUAUUUCUAUUUUAUUAUAUAUUAUUUUAUGUUCUAGAUCCUGGUCCUGACUGAAAUUUAGAGUAUUGCAGCUGUAGCCUGUAUACCAUACAUUCAACAUGAAAAGGACUGUCAGGAUGCAGCAUAAAAUGGUCUUAGCUGCUCUAGCUAGAAUGUUAAUUUCUUGGGAAUAUGCUUCAAGGAACUGACAGGGAGCAGUUUUUUUACCAAUCAUAGAAGCAGUAAGAGAUAGCCAAAGAAGUACUCAAACACUUGACAUAUCCAGAAAGAUCUAGAAGAAAAGAUUGGAACAGAUUGCAGCUUAAUUGUUAAAACUAUUAAAGUGAAUUUAAACUGCACUUAAAUUGUAUUUUUGAAAUAAAAUAUCGGAAGUAUUUAAUAUUGUCUUGAUAUUUUUUUAAACUUGGUUACUUUGUUUUAUAUCCAAAAGUUAAAGUAUGGUGGGUUUUCAACGUUGAAAUGACAUUGAAACUUCAACGUUGUGCCAACGUUGAAGCUGCAACGUUGUAUCAACGUUGAAAUUUCAACGUUGUUUCAACUUUCAAAUCCGAAUAUAAAUCCAACCUUAUUUCAACGUUGAAAUCUGACCAUAAUUCAACGUUGAAACAACGUUGAUGUGCCUGCUGCGAUACGUGUUUCUUUAAAAUUUCUAUGAAACAUACUUAUUGUUUACAUUUAGUUUUUAGCAUGAUUUUUU